CCUACGGGGGGCAGCAGUGGGGGAUAUUGCACAAUGGGGGAAACCCUGAUGCAGCGACGCCGCGUGAGUGAAGAAGUAUUUCGGUAUGUAAAGCUCUAUCAGCAGGGAAGAAAAUGACAGUACCUGACCAAGAAGCCCCGGCUAACUACGUGCCAGCAGCCGCGGUAAUACGUAGGGGGCAAGCGUUAUCCGGAUUUACUGGGUGUAAAGGGAGCGUAGACGGGUAUGUAAGCCUGGAGUGAAAGCCCGGGGCCCAACCCCGGGACGGGUUUGGAAACUGUGUAACUGGAGUACAGGAGGGGCAGGCGGAAGUUCGGGUGUAGGGGGGAAAUGGG
rnacentral:rRNA from 1 species